CCUACGGGAGGCAGCAGUAAGGAAUAUUGGUCAAUGGACGAAAGUCUGAACCAGCCAUGCCGCGUGAAGGAUUAAGGCCCUCUGGGUUGUAAACUUCUUUUAUCUGGGACGAAAAAAGGGUAUUCUUACUCACUUGACGGUACCAGAGGAAUAAGCACCGGCUAACUCCGUGCCAGCAGCCGCGGUAAUACGGAGGGUGCAAGCGUUAUCCGGAUUUACUGGGUUUAAAGGGUGCGUAGGUGGGCUUGUAAGUCAGUGGUGAAAUCUCCGGGCUUAACCCGGAAACUGCCAUUGAUACUAUAGGUCUUGAAUUAUCUGGAGGUAAGCGGAAUAUGUCAUGUAGCGGUGAAAUGCUUAGAUAUGACAUAGAACACCAAUUGCGAAGGCAGCUUACUACGGAUAUAUUGACACUGAGGCACGAAAGCGUGGGGAUCAAACAGGAUUAGAUACCCUGGUAGUCCACGCCCUAAACGAUGGAUACUCGACAUCAGCGAUACACUGUUGGUGUCUGAGCGAAAGCAUUAAGUAUCCCACCUGGGAAGUACGAUCGCAAGAUUGAAACUCAAAGAUAGUAGACGNGNGAGAGACGACGACGACGACGACGGAGGAGGAGG
rnacentral:rRNA from 1 species